AUUUGGGGCAUGGCCCAUAAGCUGAGGUGACUCAGUGAAAGGUGAGGGUGACUCCUCGCCGCCCGCAAGGGU
rnacentral:tRNA from 1 species